GCCUUCGUGGUGUAGUGGUCAGCACGCUCGAUGUGUAUUCAAGAGGUCCGUGGUUCGAGUCCCGGCGAAGGCA
rfam:Stegodyphus mimosarum contig73569, whole genome shotgun sequence.